rnacentral:rRNA from 1 species
UUUUUCAACGGCCGCAGUACCCUGACUGUGCUAAGGUAGCAUAAUCACUUGUUUUUUAAUUGAAAGCUUGUAUGAAUGGCUUGACGCAGGUAAAGCUGUCUCUUUUAUACUAAAUAAAAAUUAAUCUUUAAGUGCAGAAGCUUAAAUAUAUCCAAAAGACGAAAAGACCCUAUCGAGCUUGAAAAUUAUAAUUAAAUUAAACUUAUAGUAAAAUAAUUUUUAAUUAAUUUUUUUUGUUGGGGCGACAAAAGAACAGACAAAGCUUCUUUUUAUUUUAUAAAUUUUUAAAUUUAUAGAUCCAUAAUUUAUGAUUAAAAGAAAAAGCUACCGUAGGGAUAACAGCGUUAUUUUUUCAAAGAGUUCUUAUCGAAGAAAAAGUUUGCGACCUCGAUGUUGGAUUAAAGUAACUUCUAAGUGCAGAAGCUUAGAAAGUGGGUCUGUUCGACCCUUAAACCUUU